AACGAACGCUGGCGGCAUGCCUAACACAUGCAAGUCGAACGAGACCUUCGGGUCUAGUGGCGUACGGGUGCGUAACGCGUGGGAACCUGCCCAUAGGCUCGGCAUAAAUCCCCGAAUGGGAUGCUAAUACCGGUUAAUGUCUUCGGACCAAAGAUUUAUCGCCAUUGGCUGCGCCCGCGUUGGAUAAGCUAGUUGGUAGGGUAGAAGCCUACCAAGGUGACGAUCCAUAGCUGGUCUGAGAGGAUGAUCAGCCACACUGGGACUGAGACACGGCCCAGACUCCUACGGGAGGCAGCAGUGGGGAAUAUUGGACAAUGGGCGAAAGCCUGAUCCAGCAAUGCCGCGUGAGUGAUGAAGGCCUUAGGGUUGUAAAGCUCUUUUACCCGGGAUGAUAAUGACAGUACCGGGAGAAUAAGCUCCGGCUAACUCCGUG
rnacentral:rRNA from 1 species